rnacentral:rRNA from 1 species
GACGAACGCUGGCGGCGUGCUUAACACAUGCAAGUCGAACGCUGAAGCUCAGCUUUUGUUGGGUGGAUGAGUGGCGAACGGGUGAGUAACACGUGAGUAACCUGCCUCCUUCUUUGGGAUAACGCCCGGAAACGGGUGCUAAUACUGGAUAUUCACUGGUCUUCGCAUGGGGGUUGGUGGAAAGGGUUUUUCUGGUGGGGGAUGGGCUCGCGGCCUAUCAGCUUGUUGGUGGGGUGAUGGCCUACCAAGGCUUUGACGGGUAGCCGGCCUGAGAGGGUGACCGGUCACAUUGGGACUGAGAUACGGCCCAGACUCCUACGGGAGGCAGCAGUGGGGAAUAUUGGACAAUGGGCGCAAGCCUGAUGCAGCGACGCCGCGUGAGGGAUGGAGGCCUUCGGGUUGUGAACCUCUUUCGCUCAUGGUCAAGCCGCAACAAUGGUUGUGGUGAGGGUAGUGGGUAAAGAAGCGCCGGCUAACUACGUG